UGGCGUAGUGCGCAAAGCAUCGGCUUGCUAAGCCGAUGGUCCCGGGUUCGAUUCCCGU
rnacentral:tRNA from 1 species